rnacentral:ncRNA from 1 species
AACCGCCGUAUGCCGAACGGCACGUACGGUGGUGUGGGAGGUUGGGGGGCGUAAGGCCCCCCGCCUACCCGAU